CCUACGGGAGGCAGCAGUGGGGAAUCUUGCACAAUGGAGGAAACUCUGAUGCAGCGAUGCCGCGUGAGUGAAGAAGGCCCUUGGGUUGUAAAGCUCUUUCGUCGGGGAAGAAAAUGACUGUACCCGAACAAGAAGGUCCGGCUAACUUCGUGCCAGCAGCCGCGGUAAUACGAAGGGACCUAGCGUAGUUCGGAAUUACUGGGCUUAAAGAGUUCGUAGGUGGUUGAAAAAGUUAGUGGUGAAAUCCCAGAGCUUAACUCUGGAACUGCCAUUAAAACUUUUCAGCUAGAGUAUGAUAGAGGAAAGCAGAAUUUCUAGUGUAGAGGUGAAAUUCGUAGAUAUUAGAAAGAAUACCAAUUGCGAAGGCAGCUUUCUGGAUCAUUACUGACACUGAGGAACGAAAGCAUGGGUAGCGAAGAGGAUUAGAUACCCUCGUAGUCCAUGCCGUAAACGAUGUGUGUUAGACGUUGGAAAUUUAUUUUCAGUGUCGCAGCGAAAGCGAUAAACACACCGCCUGGGGAGUACGACCGCAAGGUUAAAACUCAAAUGAAUUGACGGA
rnacentral:rRNA from 1 species